rnacentral:rRNA from 1 species
UCAGUGGAUGAAGAGGAAGUCCUGCUUGCCAGUUGACUAUUAUACGUCGCGGUAUUUUGACCGUGCGUAGGUAGCGCAUCACUUGUCUUUUAAUGAGACCUGUAUGAUGAUGCACGAGGCUUGACUGUCUGGCGUCGAGUCAUGAAAUUUGAUCUUGCCCCGUGGCAGUACCGGACCUUAAAAAUACUUGCAGAAGUAAAGACCCUUUUGGGAGCUUAAGAUACAAGAUCAACUUAUGUUAAGAAACCAAAAGGUUAACUAAAUAGAAAAUGGAUUCCCAUCCUUCGGUUGGGGCAACCGCGGGGAAAAAAAAGUUUCCCCGCGGUCUGGGGGCAACCCCAGAACCAAGAAAUCUUUUCUAAGUCCAAGAUAUCUGACCUUUAGAUCGGCCAACGCGACUACGAACAGUUACCCAGGAUACUGUCGUACGUUCGAUUCAUCACAUAUGAUUACACCCCGUGUUGUCAGAUCCAUUGGCACCUAUUAGGUCGUGUCAGGUAAGCCCCAGAUGCUCG